rnacentral:rRNA from 1 species
ACUCAAAGGAAUUGACGGGGGCCCGCACAAGCAGCGGAGCGUGUGGUUUAAUUCGAGGCUACACGAAAAACCUUACCUGGGUUUGACAUCCCCUGAAGACUGUAGAAAUAUGGUUGUCCUUCGGGACAGGGAGACAGGUGCUGCAUGGCUGUCGUCAGCUCGUGUCGUGAGAUGUUCGGUUAAGUCCGAAAACGAGCGCAACCCUCGGUCAGUGUUAUAUGUGUCACUGAUGACUGCCUGCGGCAAGCAGGAGGAAGGUGGGGAUGAUGUCAAGUCAGCAUGGCCUUUAUAUCCAGGGCUACACACACGCUACAAUGGGUGGUACAGUGGGUUGCCAAGCCGCGAGGUGGAGCCAAUCCUAAAAAGCCAUUCGUAGUUCGGAUUGCAGGCUGCAACUCGCCUGCAUGAAGCUGGAGUUGCUAGUAACCGCGCAUCAGCAUGGCGCGGUGAAUACGUUCCCGGGCCUUGUACACACCGCCCGU